UUAAUAGUAAAAUCUGCUCAAUGAAAAUUAAAUAGCCGCAAUUCGUGCUAAGGUAGCAUAAUCAUUUGUCUCUUAAAUGGAGACUAGAACAAAAGAUUUAACAUUUCAAUUUAUUUAUUUAACUUCUAAAUUAAAAUUAUUUUAAAUGUAAAAAAACAUUUCUAAAAAAGAAAGACGACAAGACCCUAUCGAACUUAACUUAAGUUAAACUGGGGCAGUUAAUUAAUUAUCAUUUUAAUUUAUAUAAUUACAACUAUAUCCAAUAUAAUUGAAUUAUCAAGUUACCGUAGGGAUAACAGCGCAAUUAUUUUUUAAAGUUCUUAUAUAAAAAAUAGUUUACGACCUCGAUGUUGAAUUAAUUACCUAUUUUAAGCAAAUUUUUAAAAAGGAAGUCUGUUCGACUUUUAAAUUAUUACAUGAUUUGAGUUCAGACCGGUGUAAGCCAGGUCGGUUUCUAUCUUCUACAAACAUUUCUUACAGUACGAAAGGACCUAAGAAUAUAAUUUAAUUAAUUAAUUGGCAGAAAAAUGCAUUAGAAUUAGAAUCUAAAUAAACUCAU
rnacentral:rRNA from 1 species